AUUGAACGCUGGCGGCAUGCCUUACACAUGCAAGUCGAACGGUAACAGGUCUUUCGGGAUGCUGACGAGUGGCGAACGGGUGAGUAAUACAUCGGAACGUGCCUGGUAGUGGGGGAUAACUACUCGAAAGAGUGGCUAAUACCGCAUGAGAUCUAUGGAUGAAAGCAGGGGACCUUCGGGCCUUGUGCUACUAGAGCGGCCGAUGGCAGAUUAGGUAGUUGGUGAGAUAAAAGCUUACCAAGCCUACGAUCUGUAGCUGGUCUGAGAGGACGAUCAGCCACGCUGGGAGUGAGACCCGGCCCAGACUCCUACGGGAGGCAGCAGUGGGGAAUUUUGGACAAUGGGCGCAAGCCUGAUCCAGCAAUGCCGCGUGCAGGAUGAAGGCCUUCGGGUUGUAAACUGCUUUUGUACGGAACGAAAAGUCUUGGGUUAAUACCCUGGGAUCAUGACGGUACCGUAAGAAUAAGCACCGGCUAACUACGUGCCAGCCGCCGCCGUAAGAC
rnacentral:rRNA from 1 species